rnacentral:rRNA from 1 species
CCUGUUAUCCUUCCACCGUUGGAAGCGGGCAGUAAACGCUGCUCUGUGAAACCAGCCUAACGUGGUGCCUGCCGCUUCAGGGCCUGAGAGGCCGAGGCUUUCGCCCCAGCCACCCAGCCCACUACCAACUUGGAACGGGCAAGCCGGCAAAGUCACUCCACAGGCCCACCGAGAAUACGCACCAAUCAUCCACACCACCUUGAUGCCCCCACAUGGGUCACAAGCUCUCGUGACUGA